GAUGAACGCUAGCGGCAGGCUUAACACAUGCAAGUCGAGGGGCAGCAUAAACAUUGCUUGCAAUGUUUGAUGGCGACCGGCGCACGGGUGCGUAACGCGUAUGUAACCUACCUCAAACAGGGGCAUAACACUGAGAAAUUGGUACUAAUUCCCCAUAACACCUGAUAGGGCAUCCUAUUAGGUUGAAAGUUCCGGCGGUUUGAGAUGGACAUGCGUUGUAUUAGCUAGUUGGUGAGGUAACGGCUCACCAAGGCGACGAUACAUAGGGGGACUGAGAGGUUAACCCCCACAUUGGUACUGAGACACGGACCAAACUCCUACGGGAGGCAGCAGUGGGAAUAUUGCACAAUGGGGGGAAACCCUGAUGCAGCGACGCCGCGUGAGUGAAGAGUAUUCGGAUGUAAGCUCUAUC
rnacentral:rRNA from 1 species